AGACGGGUGAGUAACGCGUGGGAAUCUACCAUUUGCUACCGAAUAACUCAGGGAAACUUGUGCUAAUACCGUAUGAGCCCUUCGGGGGAAACAUUUAUCGGCAAAUGAUGAGCCCGCGUUGGAUUGAUAGUUGGUGGGGUAAAGGCCCACCAAGGCGACGAUCCAUAGCUGGUCUGAGAGGAUGAUCAGCCACACUGGGACUGAGACACGGCCCAGACUCCUACGGGAGGCAGCCUGGGGAAUAUUGGACAAUGGGCGCAAGCCUGAUCCGCCAUGCCGCGUGAGUGAUGAAGGCCCUAGGGUUGUAAAGCUCUUUCACCGGUGAAGAUAAUGACGGUUGCCGGAGAAGAAUCCCCGGCUAACUUCGUGCCGCAGCCGCGGUAAUACGAAGGGGGCUAGCGUUGUUCGGAUUUACUGGGCGUAAAGCGCACGUAGGCGGACUUUUAAGUCAGGGGUGAAAUCCCUGAGCUCAACUCCGGAACUGCCUUUGAUACUGGAAGUCUUGAGUAUGGUAGAAGUGACUGGAAUUCCGAGUGUAGAG
rnacentral:rRNA from 2 species